rnacentral:rRNA from 1 species
UACAGAGGUCUCAAGCGUUGUUCGGAUUCAUUGGGCGUAAAGGGUGCGUAGGUGGCGCGCUAAGUCAGGUGUGAAAUUUCGGAGCUCAACUCCGAAACUGCAUUUGAUACUGGCGUGCUUGAGGACUGGAGAGGAGACUGGAAUUUACGGUGUAGCAGUGAAAUGCGUAGAGAUCGUAAGGAAGACCAGUGGCGAAGGCGGGUCGUCUGGACAGUUCCUGACACUGAGGCACGAAGGCCAGGGAGCAAACGGG